rnacentral:rRNA from 1 species
GAGUUUGAUCUUGGCUCAGAUUGAACGCUGGCGGCAUGCCUUACACAUGCAAGUCGAACGGCAGCACGGGAGCUUGCUCCUGGUGGGCGAGUGGCGAACGGGUGAGUAAUGCAUCGGAACGUAUCCUGGAGUGGGGGAUAACGUAGCGAAAGUUACGCUAAUACCGCAUAUUCUGUGAGCAGGAAAGCGGGGGACCUUCGGGCCUCGCGCUCUUGGAGCGGCCGAUGUCGGAUUAGCUAGUUGGUGAGGUAAAGGCUCACCAAGGCGACGAUCCGUAGCAGGUCUGAGAGGAUGAUCUGCCACACUGGAACUGAGACACGGUCCAGACUCCUACGGGAGGCAGCAGUGGGAAUUUGGACAAUGGGGGCAACCCUGAUCCAGCCAUGCCGCGUGAGUGAAGAAGGCCUCGG